CUUUGCUUUUUCAAUUCUAACUUUAGUAAGUAACCCUGGGAUUUUUUUAGAAGUUAGAACAGGAAUGUAUUGAUAUUUAAAUACAUUUAUAAAUACUAGCUAUGCACUAGCAAGAGUAUGCAUGAGCCAUCGGUGCUUGGCAAGCAUUGGCAUGUGGAAUGCAACGCUCAUCGUAUAUUUGGAUGAGCAUGAUUAGAGCUGCAGUUGGCAUAUAAAAAGUACAACAGCUUCUGUGUUUUUUUCAUCUCUGACAAUCUGGAUACAAGCAUCCAAAAUGUCCGAAGACAUGUCUAACCUCCUGGUGUAUGAUUUAAUUCUACAUGCCGUGUCCUAGCUCGCUGUAUAAAGGCUCAUUGUUGCAUGCUCUCCAUCUCCUGGCAGAGUUCACAGUGAGCUGCUGUUCUCCAUAUUGUUGUUGGCAGUGAUGCCAGGGUGGGGGGGGG